rnacentral:tRNA from 1 species
UCCCCGGUAGCUCAGUGGUAGAGCAGUUGACUGUUAAUCAAUUGGUCGCAAGUUCGAACCUUGCCCGGGGAGCCA